CAUUGCUUGCACUACCGCCUGAGCUCCACCUCCUGUCAACAUUAUGCUUGUCUUCCAGUGGAAAGACCGUUGAUAUUCCCAAGAAGGCCUGAUAUUAAUGGCACAUCAAGUCCUAUUCUAGGCCAGGAGGGUACAGCACAGAACAAAACAGACAAAAUUCCCUUCACUCCUGAAGUUCAUAAGACUGAGAUGGAUCUUACGGCAGCUUUGGAGGCAGAAGUUGUAGGCAUGCUGAACUCGACGUUAAUGUGAUUGGCAAAUCUGGAAGGCACUUCCCGGUCAGAGCCAAGUUCAAGAUGGCAGAAGAAACAGUGUGGGUGACCAGCAGCUAUGAAAGAAGGACAAAGAAUCUAGGGUUCAGGUUCUUUGGGGAGGAAGUGGAAGAGCCUCAAUAACAAACAAAAGGAGGCCUGGCAGUCUUUAAGAGCAUCCAACUAUGAGCAGAGAAUCUGCCUCGGCAGAAAUCACACUGCAUGUGCUUCAGACCCUUUGACAUAACAUCUGACUACAGUAGCCUGGUAUCCUAGCAAUAAAACCCAUGACCUGAGAAAUGGAGUGCUUUCUGCCUGCUCAGGUCAGAGUGCUAUGUGAACACAGUGUAAAUACUAUGAAAUAGAGGUUGUAUAUUGGCAGAAAGGAAUAAAAGAGAUCAGCACUUAGCACCUAAUAAAACAUCAAAGACGGCCA